GUGAAUCAUCGAAUUUUUGAACGCAAAUUGCACUCUCCGGUUUUCCGGAGGAGUAUGCCUGUUUGAGGGUCAGACUAAAAAAAAUCGACAUAUUUUCUGGGUUAUGGUAACUUUCUUCUGAGAUGGGAUAUCGUAAGUCUCGGUUUAAGGGACUUAAAAAUUUUUUCUACGAUUCUGAGAAAGUAUCAAAUAUUUU
rnacentral:misc_RNA from 1 species